ACGCUCGACACCUACGGUAGGCAGCAGUGGGGAAUAUUGCACAAUGGGGGAAACCCUGAUGCAGCGACGCCGCGUGAGUGAAGAAGUAUUUCGGUAUGUAAAGCUCUAUCAGCAGGGAAGAAGAUGACGGUACCUGAGUAAGAAGCCCCGGCUAACUACGUGCCUGCAGCCGCGGUAAUCUGAGCGGGCUGGCAAGGC
rnacentral:rRNA from 1 species